CCUACGGGAGGCAGCAGUGAGGAAUAUUGGUCAAUGGCCGAAAGGCUGAACCAGCCAAGUCGCGUGAGGGAUGACGGCCCUACGGGUUGUAAACUUCUUUUGCCGGGGAGCAAAGCGCGGUACGUGUACCGCCUCGCGAGUACCCUGCGAAUAAGGAUCGGCUAACUCCGUGCCAGCAGCCGCGGUAAUACGGAGGAUCCGAGCGUUAUCCGGAUUUAUUGGGGUUAAGGGGUGCGCAGGCGGAUGCGAAAGUUAGAGGUAAAAUUUCGGGGCCCAACCUCUAACCGCCGUUGAAACUGCGGGGCUGGAGUGGACGAGAGGUAAGCGGAAUGCGUGGUGUAGCGGUGAAAUGCAUAGAUAUCACGCAGAACACCGAUUGCGAAGGCAGCGUACCGGAGUAUAACUGACGUUGAGGCACGAAAGCGUGGGUAGCAAACAGGAUUAGAUACCCGUGUAGUC
rnacentral:rRNA from 1 species